AUUUUAUGAUGUUUUAACAUACCGCCCCAGUCGGAGAAAUAAUGUCGAUUGGUUUAAAAAUCUGA
rnacentral:snoRNA from 1 species